UAGAAAGUGGUGUAGUGGAAGCACUAAGAGUUUUGAUCUCUUCAGGUUGGGUUCGAGUCCCAUAUUUCUAA
rnacentral:tRNA from 1 species